rnacentral:tRNA from 1 species
UCCCUGGGGGUCCAGUGGCUAAGACUCUGCACUUCCCAUGCAGGGGGCCGAGGUUCAAUCCCUGGUCAGGGAA